GACGAACGCUGGCGGCGUGCUUAACACAUGCAAGUCGAGCGGAAAGGCCACUUCGGUGGUACUCGAGCGGCGAACGGGUGAGUAACACGUGAGUAAUCUGCCCUUGGCUUUGGGAUAGCCACCGGAAACGGUGAUUAAUACCGGAUACGACUACUUCUCGCAUGGGAUGGUGGUGGAAAGUUUUUCGGCCAGGGAUGUGCUCGCGGCCUAUCAGCUUGAUGUGAGGUAAUGGCUCACCAUGGCUUCGACGGGUAGCCGGCCUGAGAGGGUGACCGGUCACACUGGGACUGAGACACGGCCCAGACUCCUACGGGAGGCAGCAGUGGGGAAUAUUGGACAAUGGGCGGAAGCCUGAUCCAGCAACGCCGCGUGAGGGAUGACGGCCUUCGGGUUGUAAACCUCUUUCGGUGGGGACGAAGCGCAAGUGACGGUACCCACUAAAGAAGCACCGGCCAACUACGUGCCAGCCGCCGCGGUAA
rnacentral:rRNA from 1 species